GAUGAACGCUGACAGAAUGCUUAACACAUGCAAGUCUUUGGCGAAGCUGUGCUUGCACCGCCUAGCCAAGGCGGACGGGUGAGUAACGCGUAAGGAACUUGCCCUGCAGUCAGGGAUAACAGACGGAAACGACUGAUAAGACCUGGUAAAGUCAGGCGGACUCAUGUCCAGCCUGAUGAAAAGAGAUGCUGCAGGGGAGCCUUGCGUCCUAUUAGCUUGUUGGUGGGGUAACGGCCCACCAAGGCGAUGAUAGGUAGCCGGCCUGAGAGGGUGGACGGCCACAAGGGGACUGAGAUACGGCCCUUACUCCUACGGGAGGCAGCAGUGGGGAAUAUUGGACAAUGGGGGCAACCCUGAUCCAGCAAUGCUGUGUGCACGAUGAAGGUUUUCGGAUUGUAAAGUGCUUUCAGCAGGGAAGAAAAAAUGACGGUACCUGCAGAAGAAGCGACGGCUAAAUACGUG
rnacentral:rRNA from 1 species